rnacentral:rRNA from 1 species
UACGUAGGUGGCAAGCGUUGUCCGGAAUUAUUGGGCGUAAAGCGCGCGCAGGCGGCUUCUUAAGUCUGAUGUGAAAUCUCGGGGCUCAACCCCGAGCGGCCAUUGGAAACUGGGAGCUUGAGUACAGAAGAGGAGAGUGGAACUCCACGUGUAGCGGUGAAAUGCGUAGAUAUGUGGAGGAACACCAGUGGCGAAGGCGACUCUCUGGUCUGUAACUGACGCUGAGGCGCGAAAGGCGUGGGGAGCAAACAGG